CCUACGGGGGGCAGCAGUGAGGAAUAUUGGUCAAUGGCCGGAAGGCUGAACCAGCCAUGCCGCGUGAAGGUCAGUGCCCUAUGGGCGUUAAACUUCUUUUGUGCGGGAGCAAUAAGGUCCACGUGUGGGCCGACGAGAGUACCGUACGAAUAAGCAUCGGCUAACUCCGUGCCAGCAGCCGCGGUAAUACGGGGGAUGCAAGCGUUAUCCGGAUUUAUUGGGUUUAAAGGGUGCGUAGGCUGUGAGGUAAGUCAGCGGUGAAAUGCCCCCGCUCAACGGGGUGAAGUGCCAUUGAUACUGCCUUGCUGGAAUGCGGAUGCCGUGGGAGGAAUGUGUGGUGUAGCGGUGAAAUGCAUAGAUAUCACACAGAACACCGAUUGCGAAGGCAUCUCACGAAUCCGCGAUUGACGCUGAUGCACGAAAGCGUGGGUAUCAAACA
rnacentral:rRNA from 1 species